rnacentral:rRNA from 1 species
GACGGAGGAUGCAAGUGUUAUCCGGAAUCACUGGGCGUAAAGCGUCUGUAGGUGGUCAAAUAAGUCAACUGUUAAAUCUUGAGGCUCAACCUCAAAACCGCAGUCGAAACUAUUAGACCAGAGUAUAGUAGGGGUAAAGGGAAUUUCCAGUGGAGCGGUGAAAUGCGUAGAGAUUGGAAAGAACACCGAUGGCGAAGGCACUUUACUGGGCUAUGACUAACACUCAGAGACGAAAGCUAGGGUAGCAAAUGGG